rnacentral:rRNA from 1 species
UCCUACGGGGCGCAGCAGUGAGGAAUAUUGGUCAAUGGGCGGGAGCCUGAACCAGCCAAGCCGCGUGAGGGAAGAAGGUACAGCGUAUCGUAAACCUCUUUUGUCAGGGAACAAAGGCGGGGACUAGUCCCCGGAUGAGGGUACCUGAAGAAAAAGCAUCGGCUAACUCCGUGCCAGCAGCCGCGGUAAUACGGAGGAUGCGAGCGUUAUCCGGAUUUAUUGGGUUUAAAGGGUGCGCAGGCGGCCUGUUAAGUCAGCGGUAAAAGCCCGGGGCUCAACCCCGGCGCGCCGUUGUAACUGGCGGG